rnacentral:rRNA from 1 species
AUUGAACGCUGGCGGCAGGCCUAACACAUGCAAGUCGAACGGUAACAGGGAUCAGCUUGCUGAUUCGCUGACGAGUGGCGGACGGGUGAGGAAUGUCUGGGAAACUGCCUGAUGGAGGGGGAUAACUACUGGAAACGGUAGCUAAUACCGCAUAACGUCGCAAGACCAAAGAGGGGGACCUUCGGGCCUCUUGCCAUCGGAUGUGCCCAGAUGGGAUUAGCUAGUAGGUGGGGUAACGGCUCACCUAGGCGACGAUCCCUAGCUGGUCUGAGAGGAUGACCAGCCACACUGGAACUGAGACACGGUCCAGACUCCUACGGGAGGCAGCAGUGGGGAAUAUUGCACAAAGGGCGCAAGCCUGAUGCAGCCAUGCCGCGUGUAUGAAGAAGGCCUUCGGGUUGUAAAGUACUUUCAGCGGGGAGGAAGGGAGUAAAGUUAAUACCUUUGCUCAUUGACGUUACCCGCAGAAGAAGCACCGGCUAACUCCGUG